CUCCUUUAAUUCAAUAACUUUGAGUUGCUCUUCUCACACUCAAGUACAAAUAACUAGACAUAGACACUUCACAGAUCAGCAGAUUAUUCUGCAUUGCCCUCUCAAUCUCACCUAUUUUUUUUAAGUUUUUUAAACUAUAACUCUUUUCUGUGCUAACAUAAAGCAAGCUUCCUUGGCCUUUUAGGCAAAAAUAUAACCUUGAGGAUCAUAUAACCUUGAGGAUCCCAAGUGAACUUGUCUUCACUUAAACUGGAGAGAUUACUCCUUGGAGGUUUUCUGUGUCACCAUGUCUUCCUUCGUCUCACUUUGCUCACUCCUAUUGGGUGAAGUGAGCUUCAUCUGGUAUUUUAUGAUUUGAGUGGUUAAUUCUUCUGAUUCUGAACAAAAGACUAUACUUCAUUCUGAUAAUUUGUACCCUCCAGGCUUUCCUCCUGAGUAGUUCCUUUCCAACCUCUUUGGAGAAUGAUGGGAAAAGUCUAUUUACUCAGUACUCCUCAUGGGUGAAAGCUCUUCCAAGCUAUAAAUAAAACAAAUUUAACUUGUACAGGGUUACUAAUGCUAUGGAGAGACAAAUAAAGGAGCUUGCUGCCUUCUGGCUGCAGGAAUCAGGCCAAGGAUUUUCACAAAAUAGCCCAGGACUCUAAUGUAUGAAGAGUCUUAUUAUGAUAAGAAUUUAACAAUAAUAAUUCCAUUUUUGUUGCAGACAUUCUUACUAAAAAGAAAGAACACCGAAAUUGACCUUACCCUGACAAUAUGAUGGCUGAAGGAUUUAUGAUCACUUAUAACAUUUGAAAUUGAGGCAGAACCUGAAGAAUAUGACUCUGGUGAAAGGUCCUAUUUAUGCUUUUGAUGUCUUUCACUUGGACAUUUACCACAUGCCUAUUGAUGGCCGGUUUGACACAAAUUAGAACAACCUUGAUAGCUGUCAACUGGAGACUAUCUGAGAACAAAAGGACAUUAUUGCAAACCAGCACUGGAGGUAAUUUCAUGUGCUUUCUCUGAAGACUUCUUAAUGGCCUUUGAGAAAUAACACAAUUCAGAUCUGCAACCAGGAGGCAGGGUAGAUGUUGGACAGCAUGGGAAACAUGUGACUUGGACUUUAGAUCCUACCAUCUAGGGGUUAGGAGUAUUACCAUUAGAAAAUAGAAAUAUCUAUUUUUCAUUUCACACAUAUUAAUUAAUUCAUCUAAUUAGAAACACUCAUUGGGAACCUACCAUGUGCCAGAUAGUAUGAAUGUGGUGAGGAUACACCAAUGAAUAAGACAUGGUCCUGUUGUAAUUUUAUAGUAUAAUAGGGAUGGGAAGUAGGGAUGUUGAUACAUUAAAAUAUACUUUCGAUUCACUGAGAUAUAUGAAAUAGCAGAGGAAGAAUUUAGAAAGUAUAAUUAGUAUUUCUGGU
rnacentral:lncRNA from 1 species